rnacentral:lncRNA from 1 species
UUUUCAUUCUGGUAUAAUUAAUUAUUUGUUAUCAGCUGAAACUGAAAGAAGAAACUUGAACUUCAUACUUCGAUAUCAUAUUCUAGUUUACAGAACACAUUUUAAUCAAUAGAAUAAUUAAGAUGAAAAACAUGGCGGGGUGGGGUGGCUCAUGCCUGUAAUCCUAGCACUUUGAGAGGCUGAGGUGGGUGGAUCACAAGGUCAGGAGAUCAGGACCAUUCUGGCUAACAUGGUGAAACCCCGUCUCUACUAAAAAUACAAAAAAUUAGCCAGGCGUGGUGGCAGGCGCCUGUAGUCCCAGCUACUAGGGAGGCUGAGGCAGAAGAAUGGCGUGAACCCAGGAGGUGGAUCGCGCCACUGCACUCCAGCCUGGGCAACAGAGCGAGACUCCCUCUCAAAAAAAAAAAAAAAAAAAAGAUGAAAAACAUUUAUCUCCAGUCAGCACACUUGAUGUUCACAGUUAGACAUUUAAACAAGAGCUCAUCCUUUCGUAGUAGAUAUAAAAGUAAUUUGUAAAGGGAAAAUUGUUUUAGGAAACUGGGCGAUGCUGCAAACACAGAGUAGCCUGAUGCAUUUCUGAGGAAGGUGACUCUUCGUGUCUUUGAGCGUCAAGCCAAUAGGAAGGUGCUGGGAACAGUAUUUACAUUUGACAAAAGAAAUUACUGGUUAGCUGUAGCAACAGAUUGGACAAAUUUGGUUAGUUUUCUGUUGUCAGAAAUUUUUAUAAUACUGUCUCAGGAUGGCAGCACACAGCUCAGAUUCAUGUCUUGAGCCAAACAAGUGAAUGUAUCUGAGAAGACUCAAUACCACAUGGUAUUGGGAGAUCUUACUCACUUCGGCUGGCAUUGCUCAUUAGUGAAUGUAUGAUGGCAGGAUGAGAGGGGAUGCCCAGGAGUCAGUGUUAGCAUUGUCAUCUGGGAUCACUGCUAUUAAUAUCAUCCAUUAAUUUAUUAGUGAGCUUCACUAUAUGCAGACUGGGAGAUAAGGAGAAAAUCUGUCACAUUCUCUCUAGCUAAUCAGAUCAGCUACCAAUUAAUGAGAUUCUGAAUGAAAUAUCAAUAUGUGUUUUUCUAAUUUGGACCUAGGACAGAGCUGUUGCUUGUCAUAGAGAAAGACAAUAAUGCUUAAACAUAGCACAUUAUAAUUAAAGCAGGUUUCUCACAUACUUUUCAUUUUAUCCUUUGGAUAAUUUUGUGAGGAACGCAGGACACCAACUUCCCUUUCAUAGAUACAAUCCCCAUGCUAUUGAUGAAAGUGUUUUUGAAUGAAGUCAUACAACAAAUAACUGAUCAAAGUGGCAUUAAACCAAAAUCUCUUAGUAGGACUCCUGCAUAGAAUGUUUAGAUACAUGUGAAAGUUGUUAAGAGGAACGGCAAGAGAGAAACUGGUUCUUUGGAAGUUUCGUGCUACAUUAUACCUGCAUCUGAGUAAGACAGCUUAGGCACUCCUAAGAGGAAAGGUCUGUGGAAAUGACAUGAAUCCGAAUUCUAUACUUCCAAAUCAAAUAGGUAAAAGGGUGGCAUACAUCACAGAAAAAGAUUUCAGCUGUAGUCACCAACUUGAAAAGCGAGUGAGUAGGAGUUUGUCACACUGCCAUGUACCAGACUGGAAAUGCAUUUCCUACCAAUUAUACAUUUGGUGUGGGGGAAUGGUGAUGUCAUUUUCUGACAGGAUUUUAUUUUGUGUGCAUGCGUUCUGCUCCAAGUGUCACAAUUCUGGUUAUAAUAAUUAUAAUAUUUGGAGUUACUACUAAGACUUUCCUGAAAGAAGUAUAUUAUACCAAAUUUUGUAACAUAAAAAAAAUACUAAAUGAUCUUAAAGCUUCCUAAAUUGUGAAAAGGGUAUGUGCUAACAUCUCAGAACUUUCGACCUGCUUAUUGUCAUCUUUACCGAUCUCCGAUGAUAAAUGCAAAAGGGAUCUGAGAGUUUUUAAAGCAAGUAGAGUCAAUCAGAGUUUUGAACAUCCUAGUAAUACUUCUGUGAUUCAGAGUUAGAUCAUAUAAAUCAAAGUAACAAUUUGGAUUUUUUUAAACAACAAUAUCAUAACUGUCAUAAAACAGAUGGUCCAACCCCAGGAGCAGAUAAUAACUUGGGCAGCUCUGUGGGGAACAAGAUGGGGAAAACAACUGUUCUAACUGCCCACUAGAACAGUGGUUUCAACUACUACAAUUCUCAGCGUUUGAGAGGUACAAGGGAAGAAAGGACUCUGUGGAUCCGUUGUGGCUAUGCAGAUACCUACCUCACAGAGUUGUUGUAGAAGACUGGUGGUUUGGUUCAAACCUUGUGAUUAA